rnacentral:rRNA from 1 species
AACGAACGCUGGCGGCGUGUUUAAGACAUGCAAGUCGCACGGGAUAAGACAUGUAGUAAUACUUGUUUUAUUUAGUGGCGCACGGGUGAGUAACACGUGAAUUACAUGCCCUAUAGUGGGGAAUAGCCCAGGGAAACUUGGAUUAAUACCCCAUGGUAUCGAAAGAUUAAAGGUGGCCGCAAGGCUGUCGCUAUAGGAUUGGUUCGCGCCCUAUCAGCUUGUUGGUGAGGUAACGGCUCACCAAGGCAAUGACGGGUACCUGGUCUGAGAGGACGAGAAGGCACACUGGAACUGAGACACGGUCCAGACACCUACGGGUGGAAGCAGUCGAGAAUAAUUCACAAUGGGGCAAACCUGAUGGUGCAACGCCGCGUGGAGGAUGACGGUCUUCGGAUUGUAAACUCCUGUCAUCUGGGAGAAAGACCUGACGGUAAAUAGCCGGCAGGGUUGAUAGUACCAGAAGAGGAAGGGACGGCUAACUUCGUGCCAGCAGCCGCCGCCG